AGAGAGAGAGAGAGAGAGAGAAGUGUUACAAGUUGGAUUGGGCCAUUCUUUUAACAAAGACUCUCUUUUUCUGAAAGCAGACCUCCAUUUUCACUUCCCUUUUGUGUUUUUCUUCAACAAUCUCAUCAUCUACAAAACCACUGGCGGAAAUCAGCCAAAACCCAUUUGUAUAUUCUCUCGUUCUUUGAUUUUGAUGGAUCCACAGAUCUAAU
rnacentral:misc_RNA from 1 species